UGCGGGGGGGGCAAGCGUUGUUCGGAAUUACUGGGCGUAAAGGGCUCGUAGGUGGCCAACUAAGUCAGACGUGAAAUCCCUCGGCUUAACCGGGGAACUGCGUCUGAUACUGGAUGGCUUGAGUUCGGGAGAGGGAUGCGGAAUUCCAGGUGUAGCGGUGAAAUGCGUAGAUAUCUGGAGGAACGCCGGUGGCGAAGGCGGCAUCCUGGACCGAUACUGACGCUGAGGAGCGAAAGCCAGGGGAGCAAACGGG
rnacentral:rRNA from 1 species